CCACCUUAAGGUCUCAAACAAAAGAAACAGACAAUAGGGAGAAAAUCCAGAAGACCCAAGGAAAGCAAUGGCAACAACUAGGAUUCUAAUUAUCUUUUUAGUUUCCUGCAUGAUCAUCGCUGCAAAUAGCCAACCACAUACAUUUUGCUGCAAAAGAUACUUACUUUCCCAAUUGUGUAACCCCAAGAAUCUCAAAGAUACAGCAAACUGUGUAAAAUGGUGCCGCUCAGGUUGUACUAAUGGAACUGGUGUCUGUGCACAAGUGUGGGGUAUGACCUACUGCGGAUGUGGGCCAAUGAAUAAUCAAGGGACCUGUGCAUAACAAACCGAUGGUUAACUACU